CCUACGGGUGGCUGCAGUGGGGAAUAUUGGACAAUGGGCGAAAGCCUGAUCCAGCCAUGCCGCGUGUGUGAAGAAGGCCUUCGGGUUGUAAAGCACUUUCAGUGGGGAAGAAAGCCUUGGGGCUAAUACCCUCGAGGAAGGACAUCACCCACAGAAGAAGCACCGGCUAACUCCGUGCCAGCAGCCGCGGUAAUACGGAGGGUGCGAGCGUUAAUCGGAAUUACUGGGCGUAAAGCGCGCGUAGGCGGUCUGAUAAGCCGGUUGUGAAAGCCCCGGGCUCAACCUGGGAACGGCAUCCGGAACUGUCAGGCUAGAGUGCAGGAGAGGAAGGUAGAAUUCCCGGUGUAGCGGUGAAAUGCGUAGAGCUCGGGAGGAAUACCAGUGGCGAAGGCGGCCUUCUGGACUGACACUGACGCUGAGGUGCGAAAGCGUGGGUAGCAAACAGGAUUAGAUACCCGGGUAGUC
rnacentral:rRNA from 1 species